AAGAAGACAUUGAGUAGCGAAGUAAACUAGAGUCUUGCUUGUCAGUGAGCCGCGUAAAGUGCGAAGCGGCCUAGCAUUUCUAGUUGAAGGUAGGCUACGAGUCGUGAUUGCGACUGAAAAGAAGUGGUCACUGGGAUUGCGCCCAUUACAGCAAUGACGUAUCGUCGGUUUUCGGCCGUACGUUUGGAGGUUUAAUCGGUGACGGUUAAACGAAACAAGGUGGUAACGCGCAUUGGCGCCCUUGAC
rnacentral:ncRNA from 1 species